AGAUAUAAACUUAUUUUACUUAUAGCUCUGAAAUCUAUUAAAUUUCAUUUUCAAAUAAAAUACUAAAGCUUCCUACCAAAUCACUAAAAUUCAAAUUAACAACAUUAAUUUAAUAUGCCAUAGAUUAUAAUUUUUAUAAAAAAAUACAAUUACCAAUGAAAUUAAAACUAUGAAGCAAUACUUUCUCACUUUUGUCAUUCUUAUUUUGACCCUUAUUUAAAUUAUAGUAGUUAUCGUUGCCUUUAUUUUUGCCUUUAAAAAACUCAAAAUUUUAACUAUCAGGGAAUUAUUUUGAAGAUCCAAUCAAUUCAAUCAUAUUCAUAAAAGGCAAAAAAAUUUUGGAGUAUGAAGUCCUUUAUUAUAUAUUUAGUAUCAUCAUUACUUGUUCAAAAUUAAAUCUAUACAACACAUCUGCCAGUGAAAUAAUUAUGACACUGACUGCUACAGUACAGGUUCUGUUGAGUUCUUCAGAGUUGAAAGACCAUGUGCUAUUUGGUGACAAUUUCCCCCCUACUAUGCCUUAUGUAAAUGGCUGUAAAAGCUUUAUUUGUACAGCUUGCCAUGAUGUAAUUUGUCCUUUACUUGGGGCCAAUGCAAAUGCAAACUCCAGGACUUCAGUAAAGCAGUGGGACAUGGGUAUAAAUUGGUCAUACAAACAAUCUUUGGUAUGCUCAUAUAUAUGGGUGUAAGAUUAUCAAAAUAAAUGUAGAAAAUUCAAAAUUCUCUUAAAACUAAGAAGUCAAUCUCCAGAAAUCGUAAGAGUGAUAAUUCUUUCUUUUAUAUACACUCCUUGGCACUUUUUCAUGUUCUAGUUCAAUUAAGAGAAAAACAAAAAAGUUGUAAAAUGCUAAGUCAUUCAGGAUUUCUCCAGAUUCCAAUAUUUAAAAAAUAUAUUCAUUUGAGGAAAAAAAAUGAAGCUUAAGACUUAGAGGAGAUCUGAAUUUAUUUGCUAAGUAGGUAGUGAACAAUUCAUUUGUUCAUUAAAGUUUUCUGGAGUAUUUAUCCUAUGACAUGCACUGGAACAGUUUUACCAUUGUGUAGUUACAUCUACUUUGAUUUCAGUUCUCUGGAAAUGUUACUAUAGAUAAUGACCAGAUGGAGCCUUAAGUUAUUUGUAAGCUCUAUAUUCUAUAAUUCUAAUUACGCUGCAUUGUUGUAUUGCCUCUGUUUUAUCCC
rnacentral:lncRNA from 1 species